rnacentral:rRNA from 1 species
GGUAGUAGCAAAUAUUCAAGUGAGAACCUUGAAGGCUGAAGUGGAGCAAGGUUCCAUGUGAACAGCAGUUGGACAUGGGUCAGUCGAUCCUAAGAAAACGGCGAAAGCUUGUUCGAAUUUGCGACAUGAAUUGUAAGACUGUGUGAAUUGUGUGUGUGUGCAGUUGUCGUAUGUUUUCGAAAGGGAAUCCGGUUGAUAUUCCGGAACCGAGUAACGGAGACAAAGAGUAGCGCUUUAAUCUCUCUGUGGGGUUGGCGUUCAACUCAAUCGCGCGGUAACGCAAGCGAACUCGGAAAAUGACCGUCGUGAGUUUCGAAAAGAGUUUUCUUUUCUUUUUAAGGGACGCAUUCCCUGGAACCGGGUUGUCCGGAGAUAGGGAUUCUGGUAUCCAUAAAACGCCGACUUUUUCACGGUGUUCGGAGCGCUCUCGUCGGUACGUGAAAAUCCGAGCGACGCCUGGUAAAUCUCGUACUUGGUCGUACUGAUAUCCGCAGCAGGUCUCCAAGGUGAAUAGCCUCUGGCCGAUAGAAUAAUGUAGGUAAGGGAAGUCGGCAAAACGGAUCCGUAACUUCGGAACAAGGAUUGGCUCUAAGGGCUGGGCCGAUCGGGCUGAGGUUUCAAGCGUGCAGUGUAUGCUUGGCUGAGUUGUGUUGAGGACUUGUUCACUUGCCGCCGUUUGUUCGGUUGGUCUAGUGUAUUCGAGUCUGAAGCAGAGCUGGCCGACAGACCGGCACGUGCAGAACCUGAGCUGCGCGGCUGUCCGUUUACGUGUACAGACCGUUUCGGUCGGCAUUCAACAGCCAACUUAGAACUGGCACGGACACAAGGAAUCUGACUGUAUAAUUAAAACAAAGCAUUGCGAUGGCCGAUGAUCGGUGAUGACGCAAUGUGAUUUCUGCCCAGUGCUCUGAAUGUCAAAGUGAAGAAAUUCAAUCAAGCGCGGGUAAACGGCGGGAGUAACUAUGACUCUCUUAAGGUAGCCAAAUGCCUCGUCAUCUAAUUAGUGACGCGUAUGAAUGGAUCAACAAGAUUCCUUCUGUCCCUAUCUACUAUCUAGCGAAACCACAGCCAAGGGAACGGGCUUGGCAAAAUCAGCGGGGAAAGAAGACCCUGUUGAGCUUGACUCUAGUCUGACUCUGUGAAGAGACAUGAAAGGUGUAGCAUAGGUGGGAGAUUGUCAAAUUGCCAUCGUUCGCGCGGUGGUCCGGUGAUCGCCAAUGAAAUACCACUACUUUGAUCGUUUCUUUACUUAUUCGGUAAAGCGAAAAAAUUGUGGCCAAUUUGGCGGUUUAUGUCGCUGUUGGUCAUUGUUUUCAUGUUAGAUUGAAGCUUUGUUUACAGCCGUCGCUUUGUGUCGCCAUUUGACGCAUUGUUGUACUGGGUUAUCCCGGUGUGUGGUGUAGUCAGUAUGGAUGAUCGGCGAUAGGUUUGAAGUGAUUCGCUCCGGAAACAGUGUCAGACGGGGAGUUUGACUGGGGCGGUACAUCUGUUAAACGAUAACGCAGGUGUCCUAAGGUAAGCUCAGCGAGGACAGAAACCUCGCUUAGAGUAAACGGGCACAAGCUUACUUGAUUUUGAUUUCCAGUACGAAUAGAAACCGCGAAAGCGUGGCCUAUCGAUCCUUUUGAUUGUGUAGAUUUCAUGCAAGAGGUGUCAGAAAAGUUACCACAGGGAUAACUGGCUUGUGGCAGCCAAGCGUCCAUAGCGACGUUGCUUUUUGAUCCUUCGAUGUCGGCUCUUCCUAUCAUUGCGAAGCAGAAUUCGCCAAGCGUUGGAUUGUUCACCCACCAAUAGGGAAGGUGAGCUGCGGUCGCCCAGAAACGCCGCCGGGUUCCGCGGCACGGUGCGCUACGCUUCGCUUACUGCUCACGACAACAAGGAGAUGGGUCGCCACGAUGAUCUCUGGUCCCUGUUUUACAUGAUUGUGGAAUUUUUGAACGGUUCGUUGCCUUGGCGCAAAGUGAAGAACAAAGAAGAGGUGGGUCGUUUGAAAAAGGAGCUCACCGCCAAACGUUUGACCGAAGGCUUGCCAACUGAGCUGCGUCAAUUUGCCAGCCACUUGGAAACGCUCAGCUAUUCGAUAAAGCCCAACUACGAGUAUUUGGCCAAGUGCCUUACGCAAAUUUU